CACUGUGGCGAUAGCGAAGAGGUCACACCCGUUCCCAUACCGAACACGGAAGUUAAGCUCUUCAGCGCCGAUGGUAGUCGGGGGUUUCCCCCUGUGAGAGUAGGACGCCGCCAAGC
rnacentral:rRNA from 1 species